UACAGAGGGGGCAAGCGUUGUUCGGAAUUACUGGGCGUAAAGAGUGCGUAGGCGGUUCUUGAAGUCCGCUGUGAAAGCCCCGGGCUUAACCUGGGAAUGGCAGUGGAAACUGGGGGACUUGAAUUGAGCAGAGGGGGGUGGAAUGCCGCGUGUAGCAGUGAAAUGUGUAGAGAUGCGGCGGAACACCGAUGGCGAAGGCAGCCCCCUGGGCUUAAAUUGACGCUGAGGCACGAAAGCGUGGGUAGCAAACAGG
rnacentral:rRNA from 1 species